AUUUUCUGUCGCUCGGUUGCUGCCUCACACGGCUCGCAGCUAAAACAGGGUGGCAACUCAGCGGCGCAACAACCAAAGGUCUCGGACUCGCACAUUGAAAACGUUGCAGUUGCCGUUGCGGCAAUAAAAAUAGUACAUAAUACCCAUAUACUUCCUGCGUCUGCUACUUUUCCCGGAAAGUGUUCCUCGGCCAUUUCCCCCAUGCCAAUCAACUAAAAAUGGCGCCUAGAAUUUGGAUAAGAAACGAAUGUGUUCAGAGCGGCGCGACGGGAAGCUUACGUAAGUGCAAAAAGCACCAACACGGCAGUGCGAGAGCGAAAGAGCCGGCACUAGGGCUGCGAAAACAAGUCGUCGUCGGCGAGGAAACAGGGUGCCCCGCACUAGCACAGCAUAGCGCCACACAGCGCGAUCCCCCAAGAAGAGUGCUGGCCCCCUGUAUGCGCCACGAGAGAGCGGACGGCACUCACACAGACACACCUAUGUAUACAGGAGGAAGCGACGUCGGCAGCGCUGUCCGGCACUAUUGCAGUACAUAAUGAAAUCGACAAAACCGAAAAUCAGAAACCAAACGGACCACUAGCGGGCUACAACUCUGCCACGGCUACACUUUGCCGCAGCGCGCUCACACAGACGCGGCACACUCAUGCACUCCUACAUCCAGCGCGCUCACGCACACACACAGCGACGCGUGCGUGUGAAGAGAGGCAGAGUCGUCGGCGGCGACGGUGGCAGGAAAGAAAACCCGAAAAAAGGCCAGGCAAAGUGCAUCUCACCAUGACAAUGGCGGAAGAGCUGCGGCACCAUACCACUCGUCGUCCGUAAAAAACACAUGUUCGCAUCUGAAUCCGAAUUCGGCAGCCGCCUCCUUCCCCGCAGGCGAAAAAAAUCUGUAUACGCGAAAAGUUUAGCUGCUAAAAAUCGGCGUGGAGAGUGUGGAUGGGGAAUUGAUGGCAUGGAAACCUUGCAGUUAUUGAUUCGCCUCGCUCAUUGCGCAAUGAAAUGCAGCGGGGCGGGAAUAGAAAGAGAGAAAGAAAGCGUUAGAGAGCAUAGAGAGCGCUGGCACUCUCUCCGAAAGGCACCUGCAGCGGCGGUGGCGUUAGGAAAUGCAAAUCGUAAGUGCCCAGCCAAACGAGGAGCUGCUGCUGCUUCCAGCCCCGAAAGUUCAAAGUUCACAUGCAACGCGACGCGGUGCAGCGCAUGUCCACCGAGUCCCUGGACUGCAACCAGCAGCUCGGACUUCCAGACGCCACAGGAAGAUGACGCUGCCCUCCCUUGGAUUGGAAUGUAUUAAAUUGCGGGGAGGAAAUGGAUUCCAUUCUUGGAAGUAACAAACACAACAAUACAGACAGCUGAACGAAGCAAAAUAUUAUUAACGCUGAUCGAGGGAAAUUGGGUAUUUUGCGAAUGGGAUGUGUUUAGUGCUCCCGGCAAAAAAAAAAAAAAACACUUUAUGUAAUUGCCAAUUAGUUUGGCGUUUCGUACGUGGUCAGCGAAUUAUCAGAUACAUAUUUCUGUUUCCCACCUUUGUCACCUGAUUUUUAAGUUAUUUCGCACAGAGACACGUGAUAAAUGCAAAAUUCCAAAGAAUUUAGUGAAAAGAACGAAAAUUUGUUAUAUUAUCGGAAAGGAGAGAUUGUAUUUGCAUUCUAAGUGUUUGAAAUGGAACCAAAAUAUUACGUUUAAAGUAUUUAUAUAUAUGUCAUUGGAAAUAUUAGAGAAGCUGUACUACUAGUGAGUGACAGGAAUAGAGCUUGGUUGUAUUUAAAUCUAUUAUAUGCAAAUUAACACCAACAAUCCAUUUUGAUCAGCAUUAAUACUGUAAAAUCAUUUCAAACUCCCAUGGGGAUAAUUACCAACAAAUACCGAGUUAUUUAGAAUUUUUGCUAGACAUACAAAUAAAAUUGUGCAAAUCCCAUUCAA